GAAGGUAGUAAAAUGUAUUAGAAUAGAAGAGAUGCAUAUAGAAAAUUGUAGGAGAGAGUUUAGCGCUUCACACUUAACAUUUUGGAUCGAUAAAUUGAGACUCUUGGAUGAUUACAAUCCCACAACACUACAAUCUCAACACCAAGAUUAAGAUGAUAUUUACUCUACAUUAGUAAAUACUUUAACGAGUUACAAAUCACGAAGAGAUGGAACCAUGCGUCAACUGUGCAGGAACCAUUCACUUCUUCUCCGACGCUGAUGCUUUGGAGAGCAAGAGGACCCUCCCAAGGAUCCUGAAAACGCUGCACCUCAUCACGACCUUCUCUUUCUCCUCCGGCGGCUGUCGUCGUCGGCUUCUUCCACCGCGCCUGCCUUCUCGGCUGCGUAGCUGGCUUUGGUCCCUCGCCGCAACGGCCGCAGCUGCCUCGUACACCAUCGCUGCUACAGCCUACAGCUAGCUGCCACGCCCUUGCCUUGUUUGCUGAGGCGCCUGAUGGUGAGCUAUUUGUAUUUGUAGGUAAGGAGGAAAAGAGAGUGACACGGGAUGACGGGAGGCAAGGAAGGAGGGAUCCAGGAACAUGUGCAGACUUGGCAGCUACGGAACUGGGUGCUGUCACUGUUAGCGGUCAAAGCCUCAAAGGUACGUGUGACAGGGAAUCGAUGCUAUCCCGGCCCGGUCUUGAGGCUGAGGUCUGACCAUCUGAGAUUCUAAAUAAGUGUAUGUGCUCUUACGGAAUUGCUAUAGAUCAUAAGCCACCUUCUAUCUUGUUAGAAAAAUAUAGAAAAUAUCAAUUACAUUUAUAUCUCCUUCAAACAAAUUUAUGAUAAAAAUACAUUUAAUGAUUAAUCUAAUAAUACUUGUUAUACACCAUAAACAUUAAUAUCUUCUUAUAUAUAUUUGGUAAUAAUUUAAAAUAUCUGUGUUUUUUCAAAAGUGGGAAUAAUUUAUUUUAGUGACUAAGGGAGUAGCUUUUAUAAUCUAUGAGCAAGUUUUUCUGACUUUUAUCAGAUUUUGCUUAUUAGAAGCUCUAAUGAUCUAAACGGGUCAAAAUUUUCUCCAUCUUUAACAAUCACUACACCAAAAUAGUAAACUUCCUAGAGCCUUUCGGAAGUUUGGCUCUCGAAAAUUUUUUGUCAGAAGUUAGCUUGUUAGCUAACUUCCUACCGGCUUAAUAAGUCUCUCGGAAGUUAAUAGCUUCACAUCGUCAGCGUCGUCAGCUAACUAACUUCCUACGAGUAACUUCCUACGGCUUACUAUAGCCCUGGCUAACUUCCUACGGCUUACUGUAGCCUCUAGGAAGUUAGCUGGCUAACUUCGUACGGCUUACUAUCGCCCUUAGGAAACUUCCUACGGCUUACUAUCGCCCCUAGGAAGUUAGCUAUUCGUUUGGCUGGUCAACAGAUGAAACUUAACUUCAUAGAGGAGGCCGUAGGAAGCUACGAUGUUUUAACUUCCGACAUUUUUUAUAAAAUACCGUAGAAAGUUAUGUUUAUUUAUUAGAGGUACCAGUUGCCUCUCGGAAAUUAUUUAUUUCCUACGGUUUGUUAUAAAAGUUGUAGGAAGUUAAAAAACCGUAGUAAGUGUAUGAUUUUGGUGUAGUGAAUCUAAGUUUUACAAAUUCGUACAAAGAUUCAAACACCACACAUAAGCUAAAACUAAAAGCCAAAUGAUACGUUUUGUAGUUUUUGUACCACGCUCCAUCCUCUACCCCACAGAGAAAUUAUUGUUAUGUUUUUCAUCAAUUUAUGAAUCUUUUAUAGUAUAUUUGGUUGCGCGAAGAAGAAUGGAGUUAUUUCAUUUCUAUUUUCCGAAUGUUUGAUUUUAACAAAAGGGAAUGUUUGAACAGAUUGACUACGAUCUAUUAUACUCUUCAACCAAAAAAAUAAACAGUUCUGUUCUAUUUAGCAAACGUAAAAUAGAGCAACUCUAUUUUCAAAAAUUAGAAUAGAGCCACUUCAACCAAACGUAACCUUAACAAACAUCUUUUUUUCUAGCCGUCCUAUAUAAACUGGAACUAUGUAAUUUGAGUAUUUCGAAUUAAAAAUGCAAACUAUUUUUAUCUGCAAGGGAGUAAAAAAUGGUACUGCAUGCUGACAGUUUCAGCCUUUUCACUUUUUCGGGGAAACGUACCGCGUUUCAUAUUUCACACAUGUGGCCAGCUCGCCGCAGGCUAAUCGGCUGAUCCUACUACUGUUACGGUUGUUUGCAGCUAACAUAGCCUGACCGGCUCGCCGCAGGCAGUACACACAGCCGAUCAAGCUUAUAUAAUUUAAAAAAAAUUAUACAAAAAUACAAGGCCAUGCUCGGUAAAUGUUUGGAAAAUGCAGAAACUAUGUGAGCUUGUCCACAUGCGGCUUAUUAUCUUAGUUAGACCCUCUCGAACAGCGUGACCUAUAAAAAAUACACUACAAUUUGAAAAUAGGUAUAUUUAUUUAAUUUAGGACACCAACAAAAUAUUCUGCUCCAAUAGUAAAAUCUCAAAUAUAGAUUAUAGGGCAGCUCACUACGAUAUAGUAUAUUUUAGGCACUUGAGAGUGUGCCCUAUAAUUUUUUGAUCAAAUUUCAUAAAAUAAGACAUUAUUGGAGUAGUUUUUUUUUUCUGCGUAGAGCCCUAUAUUUCAAUUUAAGACACCAAUUUGAGACAUUAUUGGAAAUGCUCUUAUAGGGAGGGGUCGUAAGAGCAUCUCCAAGAGCAUAGAUAUAAUCCUAGUUAAAAUUAGAGUCUUGUUGGGGGUAUGCUUCGUCGCCGAAGAUCCUGUAAGAAGAAUCACCUUCGAAAGAUCCUCUCAAAAGCAGUGCCGAAGCUAUCACCCAUAAAGCUUCGGCAUAGUGACAUGUCUCAAGACGAAGGAGUGAACCGACUUAAAGAUGAAAUGACCAAUCGACCCGUGAUAGCUUGUAAUAUGAUUGUAAGCAUUUGUAAAGGGCAUGAAUGUAAUUUCUCACAGGCUCCGUCUUGUGUCUAUAAAUAGAUGAACAGUACCUCUGUACUGUUCAUGCAAUCUUGUAAUCGCUUGCACGCGACACUCGGAUUAUUGCCUUCUAUCAACACGAAGGUAUAAAUGUGAUUAAAUGUUAUGUUUUAAUAUUUAAGUUUGUAUGAUGAAAUAUAUGAACAAGUUUAUGUGUUUUGAUAUAUUAUUCUUUCAUGUUUCAUAUUUUAUAUAUUUUAUCUUUCAUUAUUUCAUAAUUCUAGUCACGAAGUUAUGACCUUCGUGACUUUUGUUCAUGACAUUCGUCCGAAGAUCAUUAUACCCUUGAGGAAAUAAUGCUUCAAUGGACAAAGGGCAUUAAAAUUUAACAUUUUAUGUUGCCUUGUUCUUAGUUCCAAGCUUUUGAGAACAAGUUCCCAACAUUGGCGCCCACCUCCGGUGAACUCACUUCCACUUUUUGAGCUGAUGGCUUCGUUCAACAACCAAGCUGAAGCUGCUUCGGCUAUGAAGCUGGUGCUCCCGAUAAAAGUCGGUUCAUGCUCAGAGCCGGCCAACAAGAAGCAGAAGGAGGAGGCCCAGAGAAGGGUACAACAUGUUGGGGUGCAGGGACCCUUCAUCAAGUCAAAAUGGUCUCACAUCCCAAUUACCUUCUCCCAAGAGGACCUUCAGCUCAAGGAUUACCCCCACAAUGAUGCUAUGGUCAUAUCUUGUGUCAUCAAGGGAUUUCUAGUCCAUAAUAUUCUGGUUGAUACAGGCAGUGCAACGGAUAUCAUAUUUGCUAAGGCCUUCAGACAGAUGCAAGAGCCAGAGGAUACGAUCCAUGAUGCCACACACCCUCUCUGUGGUUUCUGAGGAAGGCAUAUUGUAGCACUUGGCAAGAUCACAAUGCUAGUGACCUUCGGAUUUGUCCACAAUACAAGAACUGAACAGGUUGUGUUUGAUAUUGUUGACAUGGAAUAUCCCUACAAUGCAAUCAUUGGUCGUAGAACACUCAAUGCAUUUGAAGAAAUUCUUCAUCCAGCAUAUCUAUGCAUGAAGAUACCUUCGGAUCAAGGGCCCAUUGCUAUUCAUAGAAGUCAGGAAGCUGCCAGAAAGGCUGAAGGAAAUUGGACAGACUCAAAAGCAAUCCACAAUAUAGAUGGAGCCGAAGCUUGUGAAUAGUAUAAGUAUAGAAGAGAGAAGGCUGCUUUGGCUAAUCAGCCGAAGCCCAUGCUUCUAUGUGAAGACAUAGCAGAGCAGAAGGUAUUGCUGGGAUCCCAAUUAUCUGAAGACCAAAACAAGACCUUGAUAAGGUUUUUAUUCAACAACAAAGAUGUUUUUGCAUGGUCAGCCAACGAUCUCUGUGGUGUCAACAGGGACGUCAUUGAACAUUCACUCAAUGUCGAUCCAUCCUUCCGACCCAGGAAACAAAAGCUUCGGAAAAUGUCUGACGAUAAAGCCGAAGGUGCUCGGAACGAAGUAAAAAGACUUCUCAGUGCUGGUGUCAUCAGAGAAGUGAAAUACCCAGAAUGGCUAGCCAACACUGUUAUGGUGAAGAAGGCCAAUGGUAAAUGGAGAAUGUGCAUUGAUUUUACUGAUCUGAACAAGGCUUGUCCAAAGGAUGAGUUCCCAUUACCAAGAAUAGAUUCUCUAGUAGAUGCAGCAGCUUCGUCAGAGCUCAUGAGUUUGCUAGAUUGUUAUUCAGGCUACCACCAAAUCUGGAUGAAGAAGGAAGAUGAGCCAAAGACCAGCUUCAUAACCCCCAGUGGUACAUAUUGUUAUCUUCGGAUGCCUGAGGGGCUCAAGAAUGCUAGAGGAAGCUUCAGCAGGAUGACAGCCAAGGUCCUUCACUCUCAAAUAGGCAGAAAUGUGCUAACAUAUGUUGAUGACAUUAUAGUGAAGAGCACGAAGCAAGAAAACCACAUUACUUAUCUGCAAGAAACAUUUGCUAAUUUUAGGCAAGCUGACCUGAAAUUAAAUCCAGAAAAAUGUGUCUUCGAAGUAAAGAAGGGCAAGUUCCUUGGCUGUCUAGUUUCAACGAAGGAGAUCGAAGCCAACCCAAGCAAGAUCGAAGCUAUCAUUCGAAUGGAGCCGCCAAGCACAAAGAAGGGGGCCCAACGGCUGACAGGAAGACUGGCAUCUUUGAAUCGAUUUAUAUCUAGAUCAGUAGAAAGAAAUUUACCAUUCUUUGAAGUACUAAAGUCAGCUGAAUUUUUCAAUGGGGCUCAACUCAACAGAAAGCUUUCGAAGAGCUGAAGUAAUAUCUGAUCGAUUUAACAACAUUAACUCCACCCGUGCUAGGGGCUCCAUUGCUAUUGUAUGUGGCAGCUUCGCACUCUGCAGUGAGUGCGGCACUUGUACAAGAGAAGCUCGAAGGACAAGCUAAAAAGCAAGUCCUAGUAUAUUUUGUCUCCAAAGUUUUGAGUUUAUCAAAGAAAAACUAUACAGAAUUGGAGAAGGUGUUGUAUGCUGUAUUAAUGGCGUCCAGGAAGCUUCGGCAUUAUUUUUAAGCAUAUCACAUAAUUGUUCCUUCAUCACAACCCCUGAAGGAUAUCAUGAGGAAUAGAGAAGCUACUGGAAGCAUUGGAAAAUUGGCUGCGGAGCUUAAUGAAUUCACUAUUGACUACGUGCACAGAUCUUCAAUUCAAUCUCAAGCGCUAGCAGAUUUCAUCGCUGAUUGGACGCCUGGGGCUCACGAAGAAGGGACAAGUAAAGAUGCCGAAGCUUAGACAGUAUUUUGCGAUGGUUCUUGGGGAGCCUUCGGUGCAGGAGCAGCUAUGGUCCUAGUGGCUGUAACACCCACUUUGUAAAUUGCUAGAAAUAAUACCAAUAGAGAAACAUUUUCUCUUUAUGAGAGUCGACCUUUAUGCAUCAUCACAUGUGAACACCCUAUGUAAAAAGAAAAACAAGUAAUUAAUACCAUAAAAGCCACAAAAAUAUGCAUCAUGCUGGAAUUUUAUCUUGUGUGCAUUUUGUGACAAUAUAGAAUAAUGUGAAAUAUACCCAAGUCCAAAGUAGAAUUUAAGAAUCAAAGGGAAAUUCAAGAAUUUAAAAUAAGAGGAAGAAAGAGAGAAAUGAUAUAAGAAUACAAAUGAUAUAUAAAUAAAUCUCCAAAUUUGCAACUUCUUUAUGGCGCCAUGUAAUCUAAGUAUAAAUCUGUCACAAGUUUGAAUUCAAAUUAGGAUUUAAAUUUGAAUUGGUAAAAUAAUGGGGAAAAUAGAAAAUAAAACAUAAAAGAAAAAGAGAAAGAAGCUUACCUGGGCCGCAGACCAGCUUUCGGCCCACUUCUGAAUCCAUGCCACACAGCCCAGCUUCAAGGAUCGGCGCCGACACCGCGGGGCCCGCUUGUCAUCCGCUCUGCGCUUGCGUUCCCUUUACUCGGACGCUGACGUUGGGGCCCCUGCGUCGGACUGACCUGCGCUUGCACAUUCUCGCUGCCGAGUGGGCCCACCUCGUCAGCUCGAUCUCCUCCCCGCGGACUCCACGCAACAGAAAGACCGCCACGGCCGCGUCCGCCGCAAUCCAGGGACCCAACGACCUCUCCGCGAUUCGCUCGGCGCAAUCCGACUGUGCUACACCUUUUAUAGCUCGGUCAACCCCUCCUUCCUUCCCCUUCUUCUCAUCCACGCCUUACGCGUAGCCGCCACUGCCGCCAACCCUGCGUCUCGGCGCUAUCUCGCCACUGCCACCAUUGAGCCACCCAUUCGGUCCGGAACGCUUCGGGCUAAUUCACUGUUGGUGUACCCAGGCUCGUCGGGCGGAAUCGACACCAGAGAGCCCACGAAUUCGUCGCCGUGGAAGCAGAUUGCCGCCGCCGUGUGCAUCUACGUCGUGAGAAGAGAGACCGAGGAGAGAGUGAGAGAGAGGUUGGUGAUCCUCGCGUCUCGGGGAAGACGUGCGCCUCAUCAAAUCGAGCGGAGUUCACCGGAGCCCUGGGUAAUUGCUCGCUGUCAAUGGCGAAAUUCGGAUCUUCCGCCUUGCGCCGAGGACGGGAUACCUGGGAGCUUAAUCAGUGGUAUAACUACUAUUCCCAUGUUCGUCGCUUUCUCCUCUCCGUUUUAGCGCACAUUCGCGGUAGUUUGGUGCUCCCUGAGGGAGGGUGGCGCUCGGAUUCGUGGCCGGCGGCGCCACCGUCGUGCGCUGGUGCGUAGGUAGAAGAAACCCCCUGGCCACUCGAUCGGCUAUGGGCGGUUUGGAUUGAAUCUUGCUGGGUGCGUUGUUAACCAUAGAUCUUAGAUCGUACGAUCGUGAUUGCGUACUGACUCGGAUGAGCUUCGAGUUAACUGUGAGCGUCCGAUCUUGAUCCCACGGUGGGUUCAUCAUACCCCUUUCAUAAAAGCCACGGCCUAAUCCGGGCCGUCCAGAAUUGAUCCAGCGGCCCAGAUAUUGCAAUACCCCUUCGCCCGAGACUUCUGCUAAAGAGACCCUGAGUUUUAGAGAAACAAACCCGUAGUCCUACGCUAGGUGAACUGAGUCAUAGGAAUUCUUGCGCAAAAGACCCUGUGCUUUCCUGUAGUUGAGGCCCAGUCCAGGAAUCGUUUAAAUUGAAUAAAUAAAAUAGAAAAUGGAUUUUUAAUGAGAAGAUAAUUACUAGAACUUCAAUAUUUCAUAGAAAAUGCAUAUGAACCCCAAAUUACUUCAUUCCAGUUGCUAAAAUUUUGUAAUAUUAUUCCCUACCACUUAGAGCCUCUGUUUUGUCAUGAAAACAAUAAGAAAUUUAAUCUCUCACUUAAUCCUAUCCUAAACACAUAAAGCCUUUAAAAAUUCAUAUCUUAAAAUCUAUAACUCCAAAAAUUAUUAUUUCUGUUCCUAGGAUUUUAUUUUAUUGAGUAGAAUAUUUCUGUGUAUUUUGUUCACAUGCUUGGUGUGAUGUUAAUUUUCCCUGCAUAUUGUGCUUGUUUGUAUUGUGGCGAGUAGAAGAGCACACGACCGAGGAUCCUGGUGAGCAGCAGGUUGAAGUAGCUGAGCAGGAGCUCAUUGAAGGCAAGUUGUGCCCUUGACCACUUUUUACCCAAUAAUGUUCUUUGAUAUCAUUUAUCCAUGCAUAGGUUAAUUUUGAUGGGACCCGAUAGGUCAUCCUAGAUUGUUUAUCUCAUUACCUUGUUUACCCCUGAAUCACUUGGGUAGUUUGCUAUUGCUUUACAUGGUUUUGGGAUAAUCAUUUAUUAUAUCUAUGUUCCAAUUAUUCUUGUUAUUUUAUUUAUGUUCAUGUCAAGAUCAUUAAUGUUAAUUGGAACAUAGAGCUUAACUUGAGAACCACGUGCCACCACAAGGGUUUAAUGGGACGCGCUUGGCUGACUAAUUGGGAAAGCUAGUGGAAGACUACCUUACCCGAAAGGGGCAAGGGCAGUAGGGGAGUGGUCAGUGUAGGGAGGUCCUUGGUUGAUUUUGCUGCGAUGGCGGUCAGACAAGAACCCUGCAUUGGAGCUUCCUAUAAACUGUAGCGGGUUUUCGGAAGCUAGUGGAACUUUGUAAAGGCCUCGUAGUGUUGCCCUGCUGCGCUUCCUAGGUAGAGGUGUAUGGGAUUCGUGACCCCUUGGCAGAUGGGUAGCAUGACUUGUGGGUAAAGGGUACAACCUCUGCAGAGUGUAAAACUGGUAUACUAGCCGAGCUCACGGUCAUGAGCAGCUCAGGACUCUCUGAUGAUUAAAUUAUGGAACUUAAAUUCAAUUUGUCAUUCGCAUAUGCAUGGAAUUAUUAUUAAUUUGUUCUAUUACUUUAUUUAAGGUUUGGUAUUUACUUACACUUAGUAAUUGCUAAUAAAAUUUUGACCAACUACUUAAAAGCAAUGCUCAGCUUUAACCAUUCUCUUUGAUAAGCCUUACACUCCAUGAGCUCCCACCUUUGGUGAGUUCAUGUCACAUUAUUCCCCACGACUUGUUGAGCGAUGAACGUAUGUGAGCUCACUCUUGCUGUCUCACACCCCCCCACAGGAGAAGAGCAGGUGGUUCAGGAGGAGCCACAAGGCGAGGAGUUUGAUCUGAUCUAGGUGGCGUUUCUCAGUUGACAUUGGCGCCGACGAUCCUUAGUUCGUUUUAUGUUUAUUCUUUUAUUUUGUAAUAAGUCUUCCGCUAUGUAAUAAAUACUCUGAUGUUUUAUGACAUUUGUCUCUAUACACUCUGUUAUUAUAUAUGUUGUCUUCUUGGCGCAUGUAUGAGAUGCAUCUGGCUUUGUUCCUUAAAGCCGGGUGUGACAGAAGUGGUAUCAGAGGAAAUGUUGACUGUAGGACGAAACCUAGAUAGAAGUGGACAAAACCCUUACUUACUUACUUACCUUACUCUGAUUCUUUCUAUACUUAUCUUGAUCCUGUCUCACCUUAUACUGUUCUACUCUGAUUAUUCUUACCCUCUCUACUCUGAGACAAGAUGGAUUUCACACCUUGAAUCCUACAUUUAUGACCUUCUUAAGAGAUAGGGAACCUAAGACAAGAAUAAAACUAUUUUUCUUUAUUUUAAAAUAUUAGUUGAUUGUUCUGAUGAUCAAUGCCUGAUUUGCUUCUUUGAUUGAUUGAAAUAGUAUAGAUAGGCAUCUUAGCAUGUACCACCAUAAGGUAAUAUAAUAGCUUUAGUAGGUGACACGCUAAUCUACUUAGCUAAUAAAUCCCCCGUAGUAACAAUUCCUCGUAAUUACUCGCCUUGUCUACAAUUCUUCAUUUCUUACCCUAUGUUUCUAACCCAGAUGGGCUACCCCUAUAUUGUUAGAAGAGAAGCAGUAUAGACGUGAUCCUUGGUAUGUCAUGGUUAAGAAAGGCAAAGGUUGUUUAUACACUGUGCUAAAGGAACCAUAGAACUCACCAGUUCCAAAGGAGAAAGAUUUGAAGUUGGAAUUGCAGUAACUACCGCCACCAAACUAGCGGCAUUCUUAGUCGAUUGGAAGUUUGUUGGUGACAACAUCCGUAUGGUUAAGGAUUUUCCGGAUGUCUCUCCAGAGGAGUUACCAAGGAUGCCACCAGAUAGGGAAGUUGAGUUUGUUAUUGAUCUCUUACCUGGGACUGCCCCUACUUUCAAACGGCCAUACAGGAUGUUUGUAGAAGAACUAAAGGAACUUAAGAAGCAAUUAAUGGAAUUACAAGAGGCUGGGUACAUUCGUCCGAGUUCCUCACCUUGGGGAGCACCAGUUUUGUUUGUACAGAAGAAGGAUGGAUCACAGCGGAUGUGUGUGGAUUAUAGAUCCCUUAAUGAUGUUACUGUGAAGAACAAGUAUCCAUUGCCCCGUAUUGAGGAUUUAUUUGACCAGAUGAGAGGUGCUAGAGUAUUUUCGAAGAUUGAUCUCCGAUCCGGUUACCAUCAGAUGAGGAUUAGACCAUCGGAUAUUCCCAAGACGGCUUUCUCGACUCGAUAUGGAUUAUAUGAGUUUACUGUUAUGUCGUUUGGAUUAACCAAUGCACCAACUUAUUUUAUGAACUUGAUGAAUAAGGUGUUUAUGGAGUAUUUGGACAGAUUCGUCAUGGUAUUCAUCGACGAUAUUCUUAUCUAUUCCCGGAGCGAUAGUGAUCACGAGGAACAUCUGAGAUUGGUGCUGCAGAAGCUACGAGAUAACCAGCUAUAUGCCAAGUUCAGCAAGUGCGGAUUUUGGAUUGGUGAGGUGCCAUUUCUUGGUCAUAUUAUUUCUAAUGGAGGAAUUUUAGUGGAUCCUGCUAAGGUUAAGGAGAUAAUGGAGUGGAGAGUACCCACUACAGUUACUGAGAUUCGGAGUUUCUUGGGAUUAGCAGAAUAUUAUCGGAGAUUUAUUGAAGGAUUUUCUAAGAUUGCUAAGCCUAUGACCUCGCUUCUGGAGAAGGGCCAAGAAUUUAAGUGGGACGAGAAGUGCCAAGGCAGCUUUGAUCAAUUGAAGAAGAGAUUGAUGUCACCACCAGUGUUGGUUAUGCCAGAUCUACAGAAGGAAUUUGAUAUUUUAUGUGAUGCCUGCGGCCAAGGCUUGGGAUGUGCACUUAUGCGAGAAGGACACGUGAUUGCUUACAUGUCUCGUUAGUUGCGGAAACAUGAAUUGAAUUACCCCACUCAUGACUUAGAACUGGCAGCCGUUGUGCAUGCGCUUAAGAUAUGGAGACAUUAUACUAUGGGAACAAAGUGUCAAGUGUAUACGGAUCAUAAGAGUUUAAAGUAUAUAUUCACUCAGAAGGAUCUCAACCUUAGGCAACGCCGUUGGUUGAAGCUUAUUAAGGAUUAUGAUUUGGAGAUUCACUAUCACCCGGGCAAGGCAAAUUUGGUUGCAGAUGCCUUGAGUCGAAAGGAGCAUGUUCAUUCAGCUAUUGUUGCCCAGCUACCCGAUGAGAUUGUUGAGGAUUUCAGGAGACUUAACCUGGGGAUAGUUGCUCACACUGAAGGAGUUACUAUUGAUGUGGAACCUACCUUGGAGCAAGAGAUCCGCAAAGGCCAAAUUGGUGAUGCAAAAAUACAAGAGAUUAAGGAUCUGAUUACUGAAGGUCGAGUUCUAGAAUUUACGGAAGAUGAGCAAGGCACCGUAUGGUUCAAGGACAGGAUGUGUGUUCCUGAUAUUGAAAGCCUUCGAGAGACUAUUUUAAAAGAGGCCCAUGAUUCGGAUUAUUCUAUUCAUCCUGGUAGUACCAAGAUGUAUCAGGAUUUGAAGCGGAAAUAUUGGUGGUAUGGAUUGAAGAGAGAUGUAGCUGCACAUGUGGCUAUGUGCGAUGUAUGUCAAAGAGUUAAGGCUGAACACCAGAGGCCAGCUGGACUACUGCAUCCACUGAAGAUACCCGAGUGGAAGUGGGAAGAGAUUGGUAUGGAUUUCAUUACUGGAUUGCCUCGCACCCAGAAAGGAUAUGAUGCUAUAUGGGUGAUUGUGGAUAGAUUGACUAAAGUGGCUCACUUUAUUCCUGUCAAGACUACUUAUAAAGGUUCUCAGCUAGCAGAGUUAUAUAUGGCUCGGAUUGUGUGUUUACACGGAGUACCAAAGAAGAUCGUGUCUGAUCGAGGUUCACAGUUUACCUCAAGAUUUUGGAGAAGCUUUCAUGAGAACAUGAGUACAAAGAUGAAUUUUAGUAUAGCUUAUCACCCUCAGACUGAUGGACAGACUGAAAGGACCAAUCAAGUUUUGGAAGAUAUGUUGAGAGCUUGUGCCCUUCAGUAUGGAGGAAGUUAGGAUAAAAGUCUACCAUAUGCUGAGUUCUCAUAUAAUAAUAGUUAUCAGGCCAGUCUGAAGAUGUCACCUUUUGAAGCUUUAUAUGGGAGGAAGUGCAGGACUCCUUUGUAUUGGGAUCAGACUGGAGAAAGACAAUUCUUUGGGCCUGAACUGAUUCAAGAAGCAGAAGAACAAGUUCGUAUAAUUCGAGAGAAUUUGAGAGUGGCUCAAACCAGGCAAAAGAGCUACGCAGAUAAUAGAAGAAGACCACUGGAAUUUGAAGAAGGAGAUUAUGUGUAUCUCAAGGUGUCACCGCUUCGUGGAAUGAGGAGAUUCAAAGUCAAGGGCAAAUUGUCCCCUCGUUAUAUUGGACCAUUCCUGAUCUUUAGAAGAGUUGGGGAGAUGGCAUACCAACUCGAGUUACCUGCUAGUCUAUCGGAUGUGCAUAAUGUGUUCCACGUGUCUCAGCUCAAGAAGUGUCUCCGUGUACCUGAAGAGCAGUUGCCAAUGGAGGACCUUAGUGUUCAAGAAGAUUUGACUUAUGCUGAGUACCCCAUCAAGAUUUUGGAUACUUUUACUCGAGUCACGAGGAAUAAGGUUAUAAAGAUGUGCAAAGUUCAAUGGAGUCACCACGGAGAAGAUGAAGCAACUUGGGAAAGAGAAGAAGAGCUUCGCAUCGAUUUUCCCCAUCUUUUCCCUAGAUCUUCCUAAAUCUCGAGGACGAGAUUAUUUUUAAGGGGGGUAGGAUUUGUAACACCCACUUUGUAAAUUGCUAGAAAUAAUACCAAUAGAGAAACAUUUUCUCUUUAUGAGAGUCGACCUUUAUGCAUCAUCACAUGUGAACACCCUAUGUAAAAAGAAAAACAAGUAAUUAAUACCAUAAAAGCCACAAAAAUAUGCAUCAUGCUGGAAUUUUAUCUUGUGUGCAUUUUGUGACAAUAUAGAAUAAUGUGAAAUAUACCCAAGUCCAAAGUAGAAUUUAAGAAUCAAAGGGAAAUUCAAGAAUUUAAAAUAAGAGGAAGAAAGAGAGAAAUGAUAUAAGAAUACAAAUGAUAUAUAAAUAAAUCUCCAAAUUUGCAACUUCUUUAUGGCGCCAUGUAAUCUAAGUAUAAAUCUGUCACAAGUUUGAAUUCAAAUUAGGAUUUAAAUUUGAAUUGGUAAAAUAAUGGGGAAAAUAGAAAAUAAAACAUAAAAGAAAAAGAGAAAGAAGCUUACCUGGGCCGCAGACCAGCUUUCGGCCCACUUCUGAAUCCAUGCCGCACAGCCCAGCUUCAAGGAUCGGCGCCGACACCGCGGGGCCCGCUUGUCAUCCGCUCUGCGCUUGCGUUCCCUUUACUCGGACGCUGACGUUGGGGCCCCUGCGUUGGACUCACCUGCGCUUGCACAUUCUCGCUGCCGAGUGGCCCCUCCUCGUCAGCUCGAUCUCCUCCCCGCGGACUCCACGCAACAGAAAGACCGCCACGGCCGAGUCCGCCGCAAUCCAGGGACCCAAUGACCUCUCCGCGAUUCGCUCGGCGCAAUCCGACUGUGCUACACCUUUUAUAGCUCGGUCAACCCCUCCUUCCUUCCCCUUCUUCUCAUCCACGCCUUACGCGUAGCCGCCACUGCCGCCAACCCUGCGUCUCGGCGCUAUCUCGCCACUGCCACCAUUGAGCCACCUAUUCGGUCCAGAACGCUUCGGGCUAAUUCACUGUUGGUGUACCCAGGCUCGUCGGGCGGAAUCGACACCAGAGAGCCCACGAAUUCGUCGCCGUGGAAGCAGAUUGCCGCCGCCGUGUGCAUCUACGUCGUGAGAAGAGAGACCGAGGAGAGAGUGAGAGAGAGGUUGGUGAUCCUCGCGUCUCGGGGAAGACGUGCGCCUCAUCAAAUCGAGCGGAGUUCACCGGAGCCCUGGGUAAUUGCUCGCUGUCAAUGGCGAAAUUCGGAUCUUCCGCCUUGCGCCGAGGACGGGAUACCUGGGAGCUUAAUCAGUGGUAUAACUACUAUUCCCAUGUUCGUCGCUUUCUCCUCUCCGUUUUAGCGCACAUUCGCGGUAGUUUGGUGCUCCCUGAGGGAGGGUGGCGCUCGGAUUCGUGGCCGGCGGCGCCAUCGUCGUGCGCUGGUGCGUAGGUAGAAGAAACCCCCUGGCCACUCGAUCGACUAUGGGCGGUUUGGAUUGAAUCUUGCUGGGUGCAUUGUUAACCAUAGAUCUUAGAUCGUACCAUCGUGAUUGCGUACUGACUCGGAUGAGCUUCGAGUUAACUGUGAGCGUCCGAUCUUGAUCCCACGGUGGGUUCAUCAUACCCCUUUCAUAAAAGCCACGGCCUAAUCCGGGCCAUCCAGAAUUGAUCCAGCGGCCCAGAUAUUGCAAUACCCCUUCGCCCGAGAGUUUUGCUAAAGAGACCCUGAGUUUUAGAGAAACAAACCCGCAGUCCUACGCUGGGUGAACUGAGUCAUAGGAAUUCUUGCGCAAAAGACCCUGUGCUUUCCUGUAGUUGAGGCCCAGUCCAGGAAUCGUUUAAAUUGAAUAAAUAAAAUAGAAAAUGGAUUUUUAAUGAGAAGAUAAUUACUAGAACUUCAAUAUUUCAUAGAAAAUGCAUAUGAACCCCAAAUUACUUCAUUCCAGUUGCUAAAAUUUUGUAAUAUUAUUCCCUACCACUUAGAGCCUCUGUUUUGUCAUGAAAACAAUAAGAAAUUUAAUCUCUCACUUAAUCCUAUUCUAAACACAUAAAGCCUUUGAAAAUUCAUAUCUUAAAAUCUAUAACUCCAAAAAAUAUGAUUUCUGUUCCUAGGAUUUUAUUUUAUUGAGUAGAAUAUUUCUGUGUAUUUUGUUCACAUGCUUGGUGUGAUGUUAAUUUUCCCUGCAUAUUGUACUUGUUUGUAUUGUGGCGAGUAGAAGAGCACGUGACCGAGGAUCCUGGUGAGCAGCAGGUUGAAGUAGCUGAGCAGGAGCUCAUUGAAGGCAAGUUGUGCCCUUGAACACUUUUUACCCAAUAAUGUUCUUUGAUAUCAUUUAUCCAUGCAUAGGUUAAUUUUGAUGGGACCCGAUAGGUCAUCCUAGAUUGUUUAUCUCAUUACCUUGUUUACCCCUGAAUCACUUGGGUAGUUUGCUAUUGCUUUACAUGGUUUUGGGAUAAUCAUUUAUUAUAUCUAUGUUCCAAUUAUUCUUGUUAUUUUAUUUAUGUUCAUGUCAAGAUCAUUAAUGUUAAUUGGAACAUAGAGCUUAACUUGAGAACCACGUGCCACCACAAGGGUUUAAUGGGACGCCCUUGGCUGACUAAUUAGGAAAGCUAGUGGAAGACUACCAUACCCGAAAGGGGCAAGGGCAGUAGGGGAGUGGUCAGUGUAGGGAGGUCCUUGGAUGAUUUUGCUGCGAUGGCGGUCAGACAAGAACCCUGCAUUGGAGCUUCCUAUAAACUGUAGCAGGUUUUCGGAAGCUAGUGGAACUUUGUAAAGGCCUCGUAGUGUUGCCCUGCCGCGCUUCCUAGGUAGAGGUGUAUGGGAUUCGCGACCCCUUGGCAGAUGGGUAGCAUGACUUGUGGGUAAAGGGUACAACCUCUGCAGAGUGUAAAACUGGUAUACUAGCCGAGCUCACGGUCAUGAGCAGCUCAGGACUCUCUGAUGAUUAAAUUAUGGAACUUAAAUUCAAUUUGUCAUUCGCAUAUGCAUGGAAUUAUUAUUAAUUUGUUCUAUUACUUUAUUUAAGGUUUGGUAUUUACUUACACUUAGUAAUUGCUAAUAAAAUUUUGACCAACUACUUAAAAGCAAUGCUCAGCUUUAACCAUUCUCUUUGAUAAGCCUUACACUCCAUGAGCUCCCACCUUUGGUGAGUUCAUGUCACAUUAUUCCCCACGACUUGUUGAGCGAUGAACGUAUGUGAGCUCACUCUUGCUGUCUCACACCCCCCACAGGAGAAGAGCAGGUGGUUCAGGAGGAGCCACAAGGCGAGGAGUUUGAUCUAAUCUAGGUGGCGUUUCUCAGUUGACAUUGGCGCCGACGAUCCUUAGUUCGUUUUAUGUUUAUUCUUUUAUUUUGUAAUAAGUCUUCCGCUAUGUAAUAAAUACUCUGAUGUUUUAUGACAUUUGUCUCUAUACACUCUGUUAUUAUAUAUAUUGACUUCUUGGCGCAUGUAUGAGAUGCACCUGGCUUUGUUCCUUAAAGUCGGGUGUGACAGUGGCACCUUCAAAAGUCAAAACAUGUUAUGAAGUCAAACUGGAUUUCAGUUGCACAAAUAAUAUUGCUGAGUACGAAGUAUUUCUAUUGGGGCUUCGGAAACUAAGGGCAAUGGGAAUAAGAAGGGCCAUCCUAAAGACUGAUUCUCAAGUUAUUGCUGGCCAUGUGGAUAAAAGCAGCAAAGCACGAGAUCCGAAGCUUGAAAAAUAUCUGGAUGCAGUUCGAAGGUUGGAAGCUUCCUUCGAAGGUUUUUCCGUCAAAAAUAUUCCAAGAGGUGAAAAUGAGCAUGCAGAUUUGCUAGCCAAAUCAGCGACUUAGGGGCUCCCCCUACCCUCCGAAGUAUUUUUUGAAACAAUAAAAGCACCUUCAGUUGAGCUCAUGGAGAGAGCAGUGCUUACUAUUUCUCCAGUACACAGUGAAGACUGGAGAACUGAGAUAAUAUCUUUUCUCCAAGGCAAUUGUCUUUCAAGUGACGAAGCUUAUAACAAGAGAAUGGAGGCAAGAACAAGACCAUAUGUGUUAAUAGAGGGGAAUUGUAUAAACAUGGAGUUUGUUCACCACUUCUUAAGUGUUUAUCAAGAACUGAAGGUAUUAAAUUAAUGAAAGAGAUACAUGCAGGUCUAUGUGGAUCUCACAUUGGAUCUAGGCCCUUGUUGGGAAAAGUUUUUCGACAAGGAUUUUAUUGGCCGAAGGCAGCUUCGGAUGCAGCAGAAUUAGUCCAAAAAUGUGAAGGCUGUCAAAAAUGUGCAAGAGACCAGAAACAACCUUCAUCUCUCACUCAAUUAAUACAGCCCACUUGGCCUUGCAAAGGUGGGGCCUCGAUUUGCUAGGCCCACUUCCACCAGCACAAGGAAAUCUAAAAUAUGUUGUGGUGGCGGUAGAGUAUUUUUCCAAGUGGAUUGAGGCGAAGCCUUUAGCCACAAUAACUUUGGUCACUGUCUAGAAGUUCUUCUGGCAAAACAUUGUUUAUCGCUUCGGAGUGCUGAAGGCCAUUACUGUAGACAACAGAACACAGUUUGAUGCUGAAGCUUUCAAGGAAUUCUGUGAACAAAUUGGCACAAAGAUUCAUUUUGCAUCGGUCAGACAUCCGGAGUCAAAUGGACUUGUUGAAAGAGCCAAUGGCAUUAUAAUGACGGGAAUAAUGAAGUUAAUCUUCAUUCAGCCCAGAGGAAAGUGGCCAGAUGAAUUGAUCAAAGUGGUGUGGAGCCACAAUACAACAAUAUCAAGGUCAACAGGUUUUACACCAUUCAAACUAUUGUUUGGUGACGAAGCAAUAACCCUAGAAGAAGCUAAGGCAGGAUCAAUAAGAACAGUGGCUUCGGCAGAAGACGAAGCUGAUUAUUCUGUGGCAAAAGAUGCCAUAGAAGGGAUCAGGCUUCAGGCUGUGGAGAAUAUCAAUAAAUACCAAGCUGAAACAAUAAAAUGGUGUGACAGAAAAGUUCGGCUAAAGAACAUUAAGCCAGGGCAUUUGGUACUUCGGAGGGUGGCCAACCCAGAUACAGUAGGCAAGCUACAGCUGAAGUGGGAAGGACCUUUUUUGGUAAUAUCUUCGUCAAGACCCGGUUCUUACAGACUGAAGGAUAUGGACGGCAACGACAUUCCUAGAUCUUGGAAUGCAAAUGAGCUUCGGCGAUAUUAUGUCUAGCUUGAUGUAAUCUCUUUUAUUUUUUCUAUGGCACCCUUUUCCUUUCAAAAGGGGGAGAAAGGUUUUUAAUGGGGCCAUAGCAUGUAAUUUCUCUUUUUCUUAUUCAGCUCUACGAGAGCAAAAUCCCCCAAAUAUGUAAAUGUAAAAACUGAGCAUGCACCAUCGAGUGCAGGGAAAAAGGAAAAAACAGGGAGAAGCUCGAAAGUCGUCCCUAAGGGGAUGCAGAGCGCGACAAAGCUACAAAAAGUCGUUCCUAAGGGAGCGCAACGUAAGUUUUCUGCUCAAAAGUCGUUCCCAAGGGAAUGCAGAGCUUACAACGAAAAGUCAACGCUGAUACCGCCGAAAUAUAAGGCGAAGCGCGGAAAGUCAACGCGAUACCGCCGAAAUAGAAGGCGAAGAAGUUCAAAAGACGUUUCUAAGGGGAUGCAGAACUUACAGCGAAAAGUCAGCGCUGAUACACCGAAAAAUAAGCAGUGAAGCCGAAAAAUAAACGGCAAAGAGACUUCGGUCAUUCCCAAAGGGAAUGAAGGCUAUGGUUGUGGCUUCGUAUGCGUGUGUUUGGGCAUUCAUUUGCACGACACAUUACAUCAUACAUUUGCAUUCAUAAACAUUCAUUUAGACAUACAUAGGAUCAUCAUCAUCAUAACACAGGCGGGUGCUUUGGCUCUAAAGAUAAGGCUUCGGCAAACAGAAAAAGAAGCAGUUUCAUGCUUCGUUGUGUACGAAAAGAAGGGAAGGUGUUUUUCGCCUUCGGCUCAAAAAAUGCUAGUUUUGUCCACAGCAAAGUAGUUCAAUACAUGGACAAAAAGGUAAAGAUAUAUUACAAAGUAUGCACAAAUUUAUAGAGUUAGUAUCUGAUUCUUAAAUUACAAAUAUUUUUUACAAUGAUAUUACAAGAUUUUUCUCUAGAAUUUUUCUAGCAACGUCUUCAGCUUUAACAUCAUUCAGCUUCGCAUCAUCUGAGUUUCGGAUCACCUGUCAAGCUUCGGCUCAUUUUUCUUCAGCAUCAUCAUCCUGUACAUAUUAAAACGGUAUGAGAAAAGUGCAGACUUCAAGGAGAAGGUAAAGUUAUGAAUCUGUUUUUUACCAGCUUAAGGUGGCUUCGAGCUUCGUCGCCAGCCAUUUUUCGCCCGCCUUUUACCCAAAUUUGAGUUAUGAAUCUGUUUCCUAUACUCCAAGCUAGGCUAGGGAUAUCAAUUAAAUCUGUCGGAGACAAGCUAAAAUUUGGUCUAUUGACAAUUUUACCAUGUUCAUAGCCAGGUUUUAUGAAGGCAACAGUUGUGCCCCGAGAAGCUAGCAGAGCGCAGAAAUCGGCGUGUCCACCUAUAACUUCGUCGAGUGCAUCAACUUCGCCCUCAAUAUGUUCGAAGGUUUCUGGCAGGUUCUCAACCGAAGGUCUGAAUUUCUCAGCACCGGCUCCGACCGAGUUGAAAACUUGUUUUAGCCGCUGCAGGCACCGGUUGCUGAAGUCCACGCAUUUUUCUUGAAGUUCUUUCAGUGAUUUCCGCAAAUUUGAAUUUUUCUCAGCUUCAGCUUCGAGUUUGGCUUUGAAAUUUUUCUUUUCCGUGGAGAGUUCACUAUUCAAUCUAGCAAUUUCGGCCUGGGCUUCCGCCAGUGAACCUUCCAUGGUUCGAAGUACGAAGUCUUUCUUUUCUAGAGUAGCCUCAUGGUCUUUUAUCUUCUUCUCCAGGCCCUCAAUUAUAACUUCGUUAUUUUUGUCCUCGAGGUCUUGUUGCAUCCUCAGGACUUUGCUUAGCAGUAAGCUUUGAUAACAUAAGCUUCAUCCGAAAACAAUCUUCAUAUCAAAACAAUGAAAAGUUAAGAAUUUUACCUUAAAGUUAGCAUAAAAUAAGCUACCGGCGAUAUGUUGCCGCUGGUACCUGCUGAGGUCUGCUUCAACCUUUGGGAGGCCAACACUCUUUGAUAUAGUGCCAACAACCUUCGCCCCAGUGUGGUCCCGAAGGCAUCGUAAGCUUUCUUCGUUAACUCCCCCGAAGAGUAGCGCACCUGGUCUGUAUCCGCAAGAUAUAGCAUACUCUUUCAGUUCUUCUUUUUCAGCCUUCGACAAUUCUUGCCCAAGUAUAUCUCGGAAGUUAAAGUCCUCUUCUUCCGAAAUAUCCUCGGCUUUCUCCUUUCCUUUUCCAGCCACUGUGCCUGGGAUCUCUUCAGCGGCUGCAACAGCUUCUUCCGCGGCCGCAUCUAGAAGCAUUGUAUCAAUUUUAGAGAGCGUGGCAUCUAGAUUCACAUCUUCAGUGGUUUCAGCUUCGGCACUUUCGGCUUCGGCGGGUGCAGCUUCGGCAGCAGCAGAGCUCUCAAUAGCUGGAGUCUUUGACGCCGAUGCUAGCGGCGGCGUCUGCUCGAUAACUUCAACUACAUGAAUAAUUCUUCGUUUUUUGGCUCAUCUGGCUUCUUCGCUGCCGAAGGCUCCUUUUCCUUCCGAAAAAGCUUCGUCAGAUGUGGCCCUAGUGGACUUAUCUUGACAGGCAAAGAUUCAGUCAUUACCUUUAAAAUUUCUUCUACAUCGAUAGCAGGAGGUGUUGAAGGAGCUUCAUUCUCAAUUUCAGUUGUUUUUCGUUUCAGAGUCGAAGCUUUCUUUUUCUUCGAAGCAGUUAUCUUCGGCUCAGGGCUUAAUUUUCUUUUCUUCAAAGUUUCUUCAUCCUUUUUCACCAAUUUAGCAGCCUCUUUAUCCAGGACGCUAGCUGAUGUAGCUGAGGUGCCCGAUCUUUCGGCGAGUAGAGAUAAUUCCGAUUUGGCGGAAGAUGACCCUUGCGAUCCGACUACGACGAGCAAGCCCGAGGCGCCAAUGCAAUCGCUGAACCAACUCCCUGUGGUUACCGACCUUGCUGAUGCGAGAUCGGCCUGAUCACGAAGAUCGUUUCCUGUGCGCAAUCGAAGAACGAACAAGAAAAAGAGGCGAGCAAUCUAAUCUAUUACUCGAGGGUGGAGUUCUGAAUACACGAAGACAGCGCAGAUUUGCGCGUGUUCGAGAGUAGCUAAGGCUAACGUAAAACAAAACUCGGGAAAUAAAGGAGGCGCAGCUCCUGAAUAAAUAGAGAGGGGGCGCAGCCCCUAGGGGCGGCCAACCCUAGGUCGUCCAUUAUGGGCCGCAAUUGGGCUGGUCGUCUAUUCUUCCGGGCCUUCGUUCUUUAACAACAUGAUGUAGUUCAAUUCUCUUGCACGGGCCCGAGUCACUGGCCCAGGUGGAAGGGGUGGCGCCUGGGCUAGAGAAGGUGCUGCUGGUGUAGAUGUGCUCGUGUUGGUGUUGAUGUCCGCAUCAUCCUCCCCUUCUUGAACUGAAGUCGUCCUCGACGGCAACUCCUCAUCUUCUCCCGCAUACGGUUUCAAAUCUGCAACAUUAAAACUAGUGGAAACACCAAACUCCGCAGGUAGGUCGAGGGUAUAAGCAUUAUCAUUAAUCUUGGUUAGUAUCUUAAAAGGACCAGCAGCACGAGGCAUCAAUUUAGAACGGCGCAAAGUAGGAAAACGAUCCUUUCUCAAAUGUAACCAAACCAUAUCACCAGGUUCAAAAGUAAUAUGUUUUCUUCCUUUACUACCAGCAACCUGAUUUUUUGCAUUAGUAGCAGCAAUGUUCUGUUUCGUUUGUUCAUGUAUGGUAAUCAUUUGUUCAACAUGUGCAGAAGCAUCUACAUGUGGGGCGUUCGCAGCAUUAAGUGAAAUCAAAUCAAUAGGUGCCCUAGGAAUGUAACCAUAAACAAUCUGGAAAGGGCACAUCUUUGUAGAAGAAUGUGUGGCAUGAUUGUAAGCAAAUUCAACAUGAGGCAAGCAAUCCUCCCAACGUCUCAAAUUCUUGUCUAAAACAGCCCUAAGCAUGGUAGAUAAAGUUCUAUUUACUACCUCAGUUUGUCCAUCAGUUUGAGGGUGACAAGUAGUGCUAAACAACAAUUUAGUUCCCAAUUUAUUCCAAAGAGAUCUCCAAAAAUGGCUUAGAAACUUAGCAUCGCGAUCAGAGACUAUUGUUUUCGGAAUACCAUGUAAACGAAUAAUUUCUCUAAAGAACAAUUCAGCAAUAAUGCUAGCAUCAUCAGUUUUAUGACAAGGUAUAAAGUGAGCCAUUUUAGAGAAUCUAUCAACAACCACAAAAAUACUAUCCCUCCCCUUCUUAGUUCUAGGCAAGCCCAAAACAAAGUCCAUAGAAAUAUCAAGCCAAGGAGAAGAAGGGACAGGCAAAGGCAUAUACAAACCAUGGUUGUUCAACCGUGACUUAGCUUUCUGACAAGUAGUGCAGCGUGCAACAAGGCGCUCCACAUCAGCGCGCAUCCGAGGCCAAAAGAAGUGGGCAGCCAACACCUCAUGUGUCUUGUAGACGCCAAAAUGCCCCAUGAGACCGCCUCCAUGCGCUUCCUGUAACAACAAAAGACGAACCGAGCUAGCUGGAACACACAGCUUGUUAGCGCGAAACAGGAACCCAUCCUGUAUGUGAAAUUUGCCCCAUGGUUUCCCAUUAAUACAAUUGCCGAAAGCAUCUUUAAAAUCAGCAUCGUCAACAUAUUGAUCCUUCACAGUGUCCAAACCAAAGAUUUUAAAAUCUAACUGUGACAGCAUGGUAUAGCGACGAGACAAAGCAUCAGCAAUAACAUUGUCCUUCCCGUUCUUGUGUUUAAUAAUGUAAGGAAAGGACUCAAUGAAUUCUACCCAUUUAGCAUGACGACGGUUCAGAUUUGUUUGGGUACGAAUAUGUUUUAAAGCCUCAUGAUCAGAAUGGAUUAUAAACUCACGAUGCCAAAGAUAGUGCUGCCAUGUAUGCAAAGUGCGCACUAAAGCGUAAAGCUCCUUAUCAUAAGUAGAAUAUUUCAGACUAGCACCGCUUAAUUUUUCACUAAAAUAAGCAACUGGUUUUCCUUCUUGUAACAAAACAGCACCUAGCCCAAUACCGCUAGCAUCGCAUUCAAGCUCAAACACUUUAUUAAAAUCAGGCAAUUGCAAUAGGGGAGCUUGGGUUAACUUAUCUUUCAAAGUGCUGAACGCUACCUCCUGCGAAUCACUCCAAGCAAACGGCACAUCUUUCUUUGUAAGCUCAUGUAGAGGCGCUGCAAUGGAGCUAAAAUCACGAACAAAUCUGCGGUAGAAACCGGCAAGUCCAAGAAAGCUCCGAAUUUGUGUGACCGUCGUCGGUGUAGGCCACUCCCGAAUGGCAGCAAUCUUGCUGCUAUCCACCUCAAUGCCCUGCGGAGUAACCACAUAACCAAGAAACGAGACACGUUGCGUGCAAAAUGUGCACUUUUCCAUGUUACCAAACAAGCGAGCAGCACGCAAAGCGUCAAAAACAGCACGCAAAUGUUCUAAAUGCUCCUCUAUAGACUUGCUGUAAAUAAGGAUAUCAUCGAAAUAAACAACAACAAACAAACCUAUGAAGGCCCGUAGAACUUCGUUCAUUAAACGCAUAAAGGUGCUGGGAGCAUUAGUCAAUCCAAAUGGCAUAACCAACCAUUCAUAUAAACCAAAUUUCGUUUUAAAAGCCGUUUUCCAUUCAUCACCGAGUUUCAUUCUAAUCUGAUGGUAACCGCUACGCAAAUCAACCUUAGAGAAAAUAACGGCGCCACUAAGCUCAUCUAGCAUAUCAUCAAGGCGUGGAAUAGGAUAUCGAUAACGAACUGUGAUGUUAUUAAUAGCACGACAAUCUACGCACAUACGCCAUGACCCAUCUUUCUUUGGAACGAGUAAAACAGGAACCGAGCAAGGGCUAAGAGACUCACGAAUGUAACCCUUAUCAAGCAGCGUCUGCACCUGGCGCUGGAUCUCCUUCGUCUCAUCUGGAUUUGUACGGUACGGGGCGCGGUUCGGAAGAGAAGCGCCGGGGAUGAGAUCGAUCUGAUGCUCAAUGCCACGGAGGGGAGGAAGACCCGGUGGUAAGUCCGUAGGAUAAACAUCAGCAUACUCCUGCAAAAGGUUAACAACAGCAGGGGGUAUAUCCAAAGACGGUGCAUCAUCAAGCGGAACAAGCAUUCGCGAGCAUACAAGUGCAUAACAGGGCAUAUGAGCUUCAUGGAGAUCAUUAAAAUCAGCACGUGUAGCAAGUAAAACAGGAGAGUGCAACUUGAUUUCAGAUUUAAUAGGUGCGGCUGAUGUCGAUUUGACUUGUUGUGCAGUUUUAGCAGCCCUAGUAAGAUCAUCUUUCAAAAUUUGGUCAGGGGUCAUUGGAUGUAUAAUUAUUUUCUGGCCUUUAAACAUGAAAGAAUAAUGAUUUGAACGACCAUGAUGUAAACUAUCAGUAUCAUAUUGCCAAGGUCGACCUAAUAACAAAGAGCAUGCUUCCAUAGGAAUAACAUCGCAAUCAGCAUAAUCAGAAUAAGAACCCAGCGAAAAGGGGACACGUACCGAACGUGUUACCUUUAUUUUACCACCAUCAUUAAGCCAUUGAAUGUGAUACGGAUGUGGAUGUGUGCGAGUGGGCAAGGAUAAUUUCUCUACCAACGCUGUACUUGCCAAAUUGUUGCAGCUGCCACUAUCGAUGAUGAUGCGAAUCGACCGUUCGUGCACGACGCCCUUGGUAUGGAAUAGAGUGUGUCGCUGAUUUUUUUCGGCCUGGGCAACCUGUGUGCUGAGAACACGCUGCACAACAAGACUCUCAUACCUAUCGGCGUCGAUGGGAUCAACGUGGACUUCCUCAUUUUCUGCAUGGUUAGUGGCAAUCAUAGCAUGACUAGUUUCCUCAGAAUCACUGGCUGAAGAGUACUCACCAUUGUCACGUAUAAGCAAGGUACGCUUGUUUGGGCAGUCCCGAAUCAUGUGCCCAAACCCUCUGCAACGAUGGCACUGAAUAUCCCGUGUACGUCCUGUGGAAGAAGCGGCGCCUUUGGCAGGGGGCGCCACUGGCUUGGCCGGCCCUGUGCGCGAUGUAGUGCUAGGCGUAGGAGGUGCAGGGCUGGAAGGAGUUGAGCUGUGUGUUGGACCCCGGCCUGCAAAAGAGUUAGUAUAUGUCUUUGAUCGUCGUCCCUGCACUUCACGUUCAGCUUUGCAAGCAUAUUCAAACAAUGUGGUUAUAUCAAAAUAAUCCUUAUAAUCAAGUAUAUCCUGAAUUUCCCUGUUCAAACCACCACGAAAACGCGCCAUAGCAGCGUCAUCUGACUCAACCAAACCACAACGAAGCAUACCCUUUUGCAACUCCUGGUAAUAUUCCUCAACAGAUUGUGAACCUUGUUGAAAACGCUGCAUUUUGUUAAGCAAAUCACGAGCAUAAUAGGAAGGAACAAAUCUGUGGCGCAUGGCAGUUUUUAAUUGGGUCCAAGUAAUGACACUAUUAAUGGGAAGUUUUUGUUUAUACUCACGCCACCAAAUUAAAGCAAAAUCAGUAAAUUCACUAAUGGCAGCCUUCACUUGGCUAUUAGCAGGAAUAUCAUGGCAUGAAAAUUUCUGUUCUACCUCUAAUUCCCAAUCAAGAUAUGCAGCAGGAUCAUAUUUACCAUUAAAAGAUGGAAUUUUAAAUUUAAUCUUAGAAAAUAAGUCAUUAGGGGGGUGACGAACCACACGACGUGCACGACCACGACGAUCUCCAUCGUCCUGCUCAGUGUCACCGCCGUAUUCUUGCUCCAUCUUUGUGGUCAAUGCAUCAAGGCGUGCCAGGAUGGUGUCGAGUGUGGUGCGAGUCGCCGUUUGAGCAAGGUCAAGUUGGUUGAAACGCUCGGUCGUCGAAGUGAUCGUUGAAUCAAGUCGUUCAUGCAUCGUCCUAAUGUCAGCAGCAAGUCCAUCAACUUGUCCCCUUACUUCCUGCAACUGGGCAUCCACCAUGUCGUGUGCUCCUGCCAUAGUUAGCGCAAACACCAAAAGGAGAAAAACCAACGACAAAAACAGGGGUGUACUGCUCACAAGGCGCUCACACUAGUGCUGUUAUCAAGUUCUUAUCCGUUCUUACCAAGCCACAGUGGUGAACCGCAAUCAACAGGUGGAACCGGUGAAAGAUUGGAUGAGCGAUUGCGUGGAGAAACAGAAACCUGCUCGUCGUAGAAAUAUGUGGAGUUGUGGGUAGGUUGCACUCAAGUCAAGGAUUAGCACGAUCAAACAAUAAUGCAAAGUUGAAUUAUAGUGCAAAACACGAAACUAUAUUGCUGGCCACAGGUGCAAAAGAUGGAUGGAACUAGUAGAAUGGCAGUACCGUAAAUAUUGUACUAGUGAUGCCAAAAAGGCACUAGUAGAAAUCACAGGUGAUUUUGUUUUUCUUUUUUGUAUGAUUUUUUUGAUAUUUUUCUCAGCACAAGAAGCAACAAGAUAGGAGCUAGACGAAGUUUCACCUAAAACAGAGAUCAGAUGUGGUCUACAGAAAAUCAGGAAGUUCUCUGAAAAGCGUGCGAGAACUUUGACAGAUUUUUUUCUUUAUUUUCCUGAAUUUUUUUGACAAUUUUGGCCGGGCUCAGAAUGGUGUCAACAAGCUCCUGUAAAAAUUUCAGAUUUUUUGGACACCCGAGCGAAAAGUUAUGCCCGUUUUACGGAAGGUGCCUCAAGUUAUGUUCUAAACACGACCGGGAUGAAAAACAACUGUAUCCUUUCUCCUUCGUUAUCUUUUUUUUCUGUUUUUUUUUGACGUAACCGAAGGAGAAAAACAAGGAAGCGGCUCGUUGACUCGGUUUGUUUUUUUUUUUUUUUUUUUGACGUAACCGAAGGAGAAAAAUAAGGAAACGAUGUUGACUCGGUUUGUGGCGUGAUCAAACGGGAGAUGGUGGCGGCGCUAGGGUUUGAAUGGUGGAAGAACACAAUGCAACCAGCAACAAAUGACGCGAAAGCACACAAAUUCAACAAUGCAGAUUAUUGAAAGAAAGUGCGAGGCUCAAAAGGGUGCUGGGAUAAGAUCUAACCUGAAUUUUUAUGUGGUUUUGUGGACUGUAGGAAAAAAAACGCUCGAUAAACUCACCGAUCAACCUGGAAAUCUGAUACCAAUUGAUGUAGCUGAGGUGCCCGAUCUUUCGGCGAGUAGAGAUAAUUCCGAUUUGGCGGAAGAUGACCCUUGCGAUCCGACUACGACGAGCAAGCCCGAGGCGCCAAUGCAAUCGCUGAACCAACUCCCUGUGGUUACCGACCUUGCUGAUGCGAGAUCGGCCUGAUCACGAAGAUCGUUUCCUGUGCGCAAUCGAAGAACGAACAAGAAAAAGAGGCGAGCAAUCUAAUCUAUUACUCGAGGGUGGAGUUCUGAAUACACGAAGACAGCGCAGAUUUGCGCGUGUUCGAGAGUAGCUAAGGCUAACGUAAAACAAAACUCGGGAAAUAAAGGAGGCGCAGCUCCUGAAUAAAUAGAGAGGGGGCGCAGCCCCUAGGGGCGGCCAACCCUAGGUCGUCCAUUAUGGGCCGCAAUUGGGCUGGUCGUCUAUUCUUCCGGGCCUUCGUUCUUUAACAACAUGAUGUAGUUCAAUUCUCUUGCACGGGCCCGAGUCACUGGCCCAGGUGGAAGGGGUGGCGCCUGGGCUAGAGAAGGUGCUGCUGGUGUAGAUGUGCUCGUGUUGGUGUUGAUGUCCGCAUCACUAGCAACUCUCUUUCUCUUCUGUCCUUUGGCACCUUUGUCCAGUCGCUCAUAGUCAGGAUACUCAAAGUUCAAAGCAUCCAUCACCCGGUUUAACCUUCGCUUCGGACGAGUGCCGAAGGCUGCAGUCAUUAGUUGAUCUUAUUUUUUUAGAAUAAUUCCCAAGGAUCUCAUUGCACAUAACUUCAAUCGUGUCUAACCUUUCUUGGCAAGGUACUUUAAAGUGUUUCUUGAAUUUAUAAUAAUAGGGCAACCGAACAAGUUCCUUCUUUUUCUUUUCCCCUUUGAGCUUCGGCAUGUCCCAUUCUUUCAAAGUUGGGAACACUCUAAAAGCCAAGAAUUCUUGCACCAGAUCCUUAGUGCCAAUGUGCUCCGCAAUAACUCGAAAUUUGCCCAGUGCAAUUUGGUUUGGACUAUCCGGUUUCAUGUCGCACCGGGGUCUAGUCUCUCCGAAGAUUAAUUCUAAUGGGCUUUGAACCAACUCCUCCUUCUUCUCAUCAACUUUGACAUAAAACCAUUCAGUCUUCCAGCCAGCUGGCCACUUGGUACGAUAGCUGAUAACUGGAGACUUCGCAUCUUUGCGAUAAGCAAAAUUGUAGCAGCUGAAGUUUUUGUGCAGCCCAUCUUCUCUAGCUUUUGUUUGAUAAUGAAGCUCAUGUACUCGGCAGAAGCCUUCGGCAAACGGUUCUACCCCCUGGCUUCGGAGGGCCCAUAUGUAGACGCUAAGCCUAACGAUGGCGUUAGGAGUUAGCUGAUGAAGGUAAAUCCCAAACUUCUUCAAAACAUCAGCAAUCAUCUCAUUCAAAGGAAAUCUUAAUCCUGCUUUGAAGAAGCUUUUAAAGACUACCACCUCAUCCUUUUUCGGCUUCGGAGUAACUUCCUCUCCGCCAAAGCGAAUUAGCUCCUUUUUGGCCUCACUGAAAUAGCCUAACUUCAUCAACUUAGGCAUAUCAUCUUCGGUAAUGGUGGACCUCCCAAACUCCAGGUGGCUGGGUUUAGAUGGCACGACACUAUAAUCAUCUUCAGAUUCAUCUUUCUCAUCAUCAACCUGCUCAGCCUCAGCGGUAGGUGCACCUUCGUCAGAAACAUCUUCCGACACUACUAGCCCCGACUGUUUCAUCACUUCGGAAAUCGGAGCGCUCUCAGCAGUUUUAGCUUCUUCUCCGUCAUGUGUAACCCUAGCAGUAGAACGUACCCUUGCCAUUUGAUGAUGAAUUCCUCACAAUUUUUGAUGAAAUUGUUGACUUUUUUAAUUUCCCGAAGCUCUUCCUCUUGUGACGAAGCUAAGUCAACAGCGGUGCUUCGGUUGAGUGCAAUGAACAAGCUUCGGCUAUGGUCAAAUUUUUGGCAGCAAAACAGGGCAAUAGCAAUGAAUGUUGUGGUAACUUCACACCUACUCAUCUGUUUAUAUAGUGCCGCAGGUGGGGAGGUGAAUCGUCAAGUCUUCCGUACCGGACGAACAGUCGCCCGCACUCACUGGGUGGUGGGCCACAGAACCCGAGAAGGUGAAUCGCCAGGACACGUUUACCCGUUGCAUGGUGGGACCAUCCCGCACUCGAAAUUUUGUGAUCGUUUCUCGGCAACGAGCUCAGGGAAGGUGUUUUUCGGAUCUUCGGCUCUCCGAAGCCUAAGAUAUUUUUUUCACGGAUCAAGCUCGUUACGAAAAACGAUCUAGCACCGCGAAGGGGCUACUGUUGGGGGUAUGCUUCGUCGCCGAAGAUCCUGUAAGAAGAUACACCUUUGGCAGAUCCUCUCAAAAGCAGUGCCGAAGCUAUCACCCAUAAAGCUUCGGCAUAGUGACAUGUCUCAAGACGAAGGAGUGAACCGACUUAAAGAUGAAAUGACCAAUCGACCUGUGAUAGCUUGUAUUAUGAUUGUAAGCAUUUGUAAAGGGCAUGAAUGUAAUUUCUCACAGGCUGCGUCUUGUGCCUAUAAAUAGAUGAACAGUACCCCCGUACUGUUCAUGCAAUGUUGUAAUCGCUUGCACGCGACACUCAGAUUAUUGCCUUCUGUCAAGACGAAGGUAUAAAUGUGAUUAAAUGUUAUGUUUUAAUAUUUAAGUUUGUAUGAUGAAAUAUAUGAACAAGUUUAUGUGUUUUGAUAUAUUAUUUUUUCAUGUUUCAUAUUUUAUAUAUUUUAUCUUUCAUUAUUUUAUAAUUCUGGUCACGAAGGUAUGACCUUCGUGACUUUUGUUCAUGACCUUCGUCCGAAGAUCAUCAUACCCUUGAGGAAAUAAUGCUUCAAUGGACGAAGGGCAUUAACAUUUAACAUUUUAUGUUGCCUUGUUCUUAAUUCGAAGCUUUUGAGAACAAGUUCCCAACAAGUCUUAUAAAGACUCAAAAUAGAUAACUUUCUAAACAAUAGGGUAAACCAACAAACUCUGUAAAUCUUGCCUAUCCAUAUUUAAAUCAUUUGUCAACUGACCGCCUCCGCCACGACCUGAAGAUGAUUUGUUGAUCUGGUCCUAGAUGAAUAUCACGAUACCUAGAUUAGGACAAACAAUGAUUCUUCUUCUAGUCAAUCUCAACGGUGCAACGUGCAAGUGCUUAUCCUCCGGCUAUUAAAGGGAAAUGUGCUCUUGAGCCAUUUCUAUAUUAUUUUGGUGAUUAGAUGCACAACAUAUUAUAUUUGAACUAACAUGAUGUUGAGCAAAAGUGUUUGAGGCAAAAUGAGCUUGGAAGAGGACUUAGUGCAAAUCUAGAUGGAUCAAGUAAGAAGGUAUGCUCUGGGCACUGAGUCAAUUGAUUUGUGUGCUAAUCAUGUCUGUCUAAGUGCUAGGGACUUAGUAAAGUCAAGUCCAAAAGGAGCAAAAGAAAACAAAGGAAGAAAUAGGGAAAAGUUGCUGGAAUUUGUAGCACCGGACAGUCCGGUGCACGGUCCGACCCAACUCGCUGCUCUCAGGUUUUUAAGCCUACGUCGGCUAAAAUUCACCGGACGGUCCGCGUGUGGUGCCGGACAGUCCGGUGUACCAGCCAUGCAACAACUAGUUGUUACGUCAGCCUCGGGCCAACGGUCACAUGGCGCACCUAACAAUCCGGUGCCCCAUAGAAGAGGAAACCAAUCAAUCAGGUGAUUCUCUGCCGCGUCCAGUGCGCGUACUAUUCACUGUCCGGUGUGCAUCAGACAGUCCGGUGCGCCAGUGAAAGGGAAAUGGGCCUAACCAUUUCCUAUAAUCGAUUUUGGAGUUUGAAGUCCAUCACAAACCAUAUGGACUAACUAGUUUGUCUAGUUGCUAUUUUUCUCAGGUGCAUAAAAUUCACAUAAAUAACCAAAGAAAGUGAUUUGGGGAACUCUAAAAAGUUUGGAGCAGAAAAAGAAAUUGGUGCAACCAGUGGCACACCGGACACUGUUCGAUGCCCAGGCCGAAGCACCUCGUGAACUGGCCGCUCUCGGGUUUUCUUAGAGCUCAUCCGCUAUAAUUCAUUAGACUGUCAGGUGAGCCAACAGAGCAACGAUCAACUUCGCCAACGGUCGACUGUAGUACAGUCUGAUCGUCAGAAGUCAGAGCCAGUCUACAAAGUCAGAACGCACCGGACUAUCCAGUGCUGCAAGAAGACAGAACACUUCAACAGUCAACAGCUCCAAACCCCAACGGUCGGCUGACGUGGCACUCACCGAACAAUGAACAACAGAGUGUUCGGUGCACCACCGGACUGUCCGGUGUGUCCAUUGACAACAAAGACAGCCAACAGCUAGGAAGUGGUUGGAGGCUAUAAGUACCCCCAACCACCUCCAUUCAAGCCAUCCAAGCUUCUCACUCUUCUUAUUCAAUACAAGAGCAAAGAAUACACUCCAAAGACACAAUCAAAGCAUUCAAUCCUCUCCAAGCUCCAAAAUCAAAUCAAGUGCUUAGUGACUUGAGAGAGGGUGAUUUGUGUUUCUUUUGUUGCUCUUGUUGCUUCGAUUGAUUUCUUCUUCUCACUCUAAAUUUCUCAAGUGUGUUGUAAAGCAAGCAAGAGACACCUACUUGUGUGGUGAUCCUUGCGGGGUCUUAGUGACCCGUGUGAUUAAGAAGAAGCACUCGACCGGUCUAAGUGACCGAUUGAGGGAGGGAAAGGGUUGGAAUAGACCCGACCUUUGUGGCCUCCUCAACGGGGAGUAGGUUCCUUGGAACCGAACCUCGGGAAACAAAUCACAGUGUUCAUUUGUGUUGAUCCUCAUCACCCGAUUUGUUUCUCCCCUCUCCUCUCUCUCUCUCUAAAGUUCCCUUGCUCAUAUAGUUUUGAGUUUGCUCCCAAGGUUAUCCGCAUUGAUUGAGCAACUCAUAGUAAGAGGAACGAUCUUCCGCACUCCGAAUUUAUUUCUAACCCUAACCCCAAGUGUAGUGCGUGUUUAAAGUUUAUAAUUUUCAGGUUUCGCCUAUUCACCCCCCUCUAGGCGACUUUCAAUUGGUAUCAAAGCCUGAUGCCUCAUUAGAGUUUAACAACUUGAAGUGAUGUUGGGAGAACACGCCAAGAGGGAGAUGGUAACCAGCGAAAAGCCCGAAGCUUCGGGAAAGAAGAAUGAAGAACGGACUCCGUCGAAGGAGGCCGGCGACAAGCACAAGGAGCACAAGGAGGAAUCCGCCGGCUCCAUCAAGUCACAUAGGAAGGGUGACGAGGCGCACUUGGGGUGGGAAUGGGACUCCGACAAGAGCUCCACCGACUCCUCCUCUAACGCCACCAACUUCGCCGUCAAUAAAGGUCUUCUCUUCCCAAACUUUGGCCACAAAUGCCUUAUGGCUAAGGAUGGCAAAAAGAAAAAGGUACACUCUAGAGAUACCUCCAAAUAUACUACUUCCGAUGAUGAGGGUAGCUCUAGUGAUGAUAAUGAUGAUUUGACUUCUCUUUUUGCAAACCUUACCAAGGAUCAAAAGAAGGAAAUUAAUGAAUUAAUAGAAACCAUUAACGAGAAGGAUGAUAUCUUGGAAAGCCAAGAGGACUUGCUCGCUAAAGAAAAUAAAAAAAUUGUUAAACUAAAAAAUGCUUAUGCUCUUAAAGUAGAAAAAUGUGAAAAUUUAUCUAAAUAGCUUAAUAUUUGCAAUGAUUCAAUUUCUUAUCUUAGAACUGAAAAUGCUAGUUGUUAGGGGCCUUCGUCUUCCGAAGGUCCUCAAAAACAUGAUUAACAAUGUUUCCCAAGUGUAAUAUAUGUACAGGAACCUUCGGACUCGGAAUAAAGCUAUACACAAUAUGAAAAGCAUGGUCGAGACGAAGGUUGAACCAGCUCCGAAGCUACACGCAAGGGAGCUUCGGCUCAGCGGCAGAAAAAAGAGCCAACUUAAAGGGGAAAAGGCUAUCUAGUCCUCGUUGGAUUGUCCUUAAGUCAAUAGUAAAAAAGGGCGUGAAUGUAAUUUUACACAGGCUGCGCCCUGUGCCUAUAAAUAGAUGAAUAGUACCCCCGUACUGUUCACGCUGUCAAGCCGAAGGUACAAAUGUAAUUCGAUAUUGUUUAUGUUAAUUCAUGAUGAUAUAAUAAAGAUAUAAAUGUUGUCAUAUGAUUAUUCAUGUUAUUUCUCAUGUUUCAUAUGCUUCUCCUUCCAUUAAUAUAUACUGCGAUGAUGAAGGUACGUCCUUCACAACCUUCGUCUGAAGAUCAUUAUAUCCCAAGGGAGAUAAUGCUUCGAAGGACGAAGGGCGUUAACCAUUAACAUUUUUGUGUUGCCUUGUUCUUAAUUCAUAGCAUUUAAGAACAAGUCCCCAACAUUUGCGCCCACCUCCGGUGUACUCACUUCCACAAUCUUCGGCAAAGCAUCAACCUUCGUCAUACCGCCAAAGAAGACAACAGCGCCAGGGGCUGCACUGCAGCCACUGGACACAAACCAAGAGACUCUCUCUCUCCAAGAGGCCAGAAGCCAAAAGAGAAAGGCCGCCAGUCCAACACUUCAGGAGGAGGAGUUGGACCAGGAGAUCAGGGACCUAGAAGUCAUUCACCAGCAAGUGCAAAGGAAAAAGGAGAAGAUGGCCCAGCUGGCCGACCUUCAGAAGAAUAUAGACGAAGCUGCUGAGGAAGUGUGUCAUCUUACUCAAGAUGAUCAUGACCGAAGGCCCCAACACAGGAAGCUUUGCCAAAAAGGCCCAUUCAACGAAGAUGAAUGGUACGAUGAUUUUUAUCAUGUUAGCUUUACUUUUGAUGAUGCUUCUCCCCUGACAGCAGAAUUGCAGGCUAUUCCAUGGCCACAAUCCUACAAGCCACCUCAGUUACCCAUGUACGAUGGGCACUCAGACCCAAAGCAAUUCUUGAUGAGCUAUGAGGCAACAAUAUCCUCAUAUGGAGGCAACACAGCUGUCAUGGCAAAGUCCUUCGUCAUGGCAGUCCGAAGUGUGGCUCAGACAUGGUACUCUUCUCUCCGGCCAGGGACAAUCACGUCAUGGUAGAAGCUCAAGGACAUGCUGGUUACCAGUUUUCAAGGCUUUCAGACGAAGCCAGUCACAGCUCAGGCCUUGUUCCAGUGCACACAAGACCAUGAGGAAUACCUUUAGGCGUAUGUAUGAAGGUUCUUGCGUCUGAGAGCACAAGCACCCACAGUUCCCAAUGAAAUCGUCAUUGAGGCCAUGAUUAAGGGUCUUCGGCCAGGGCCUACGGCCCAAUACUUCGCCAGGAAACCCCCCAGACUCUGGAGAAGCUGCUUCAGAAAAUGGAUGAGUACUUUCGGGCUGAUAAUGACUUCCGACAAAGAAGAGAGGAAGCUUAUAGAUUUUCUGAGAUGAUUAGGGGCUUCGGAGGAAGAAUCCACCCUAGGCAUGUCAGAUCAAUCCAUAGGUCCAGUCAGAAUGAUGAUAAAGGAAGCCAGUUUCAGAGGCCACAGCAUAGCUUGCAGUCUUCGAGACAGUAGCAAAGCUCCUUUAGGCCACUAGCUCCAAGGGGCGGAGGCGGCAGGGGCUUCGGAGGCAGAUAUGGGGAUCAGCCCAGGAAAAUCUAUUGAUUGUUCUGUGGUGAAGAUAAGGGCCACACGACAAGAACAUGCCAGAUUACCAUUCAAAAGCAAAAAGAGAUCGCCGAAGCAGAAGCCCGGCAGAAUCAGCCGAAGUAGGUCCUACAUACUGCUUCGUGCCACUCUCCCUACAUACCAGAAUAUGUGGGCAACCAACCUGCAGCUUAUGUUGCUUUGGCAAGCCACUCACAAGCUUCCUGGCCCCAGCUCCCACCGCCACCACCAUUGCAACUCACUUAUACCCGAAGCCAGCAGCCAGAAGGGCGCCAGCACUCCCAACAACAACGUGACUUCAAGGAGGAGUCCGAAGCUCGUACAGUCAACAACAUUGUACCAGAAUCAAAGCACAUAUACUGAGCAAUAUCCUACUUCUGAAAUACUUUUAUCUUCUAUGCCAUUUUGCUUUUUGAAUAAGGAACAAGCAAUGAAAACUUAGUUUUAAUUACUUUUAAUGAUUUUGCUUCUACCAGAAUGAAAUAUAUCUUCAUCACAGAUUUACGAAGCUCAAAAAUCGUUCCUAAGGGAAUGCAGAGCCAAUACAAAUGAAGCUACAAAAAGUCGUUCCUAAGGGAGCGCAGCGUAAGUUUUUUGCUCAAAAGUCGUUCCUAAGGGAAUGCAGAGCCAAAAUUGACGAAGCUACAAAAAGUCGUUCCUAAGGGAGCACAAUGUAAGUUUUCUGCUCAAAAGUCGUUCCAAAGGGAAUGCAGAGCCAAAUACCGCCGAAAUAUCAGGCGAAGAAGUUCAAAAGUCGUUCCUAAGGGGAUGCAGAACUUAUACCGCCGAAAUAGAAGGCGAAAAAGUUCAAAAGACGUUCCUAAGGGGAUGCAGAACUUAGAUCACCGAAAUAGAAGGUGAAGAAGCUCAAAAGUCGUUCCUAAGGGGAUGCAGAGCUUGUGUGUUCUAGUGUGGGCGUGUGGGUGUGUGUCUUCAGUAUCCUCAUUAUUUUGCAUCAUAUCAUCACAUCAUUUCUCAUAACAUUACAUCAUACAUCAUAUUGCAUCAACGGCACAAGAAUCAAAUAUGAAGCCAAUCUUCGGCAAAUGCUUCGUCAAAAUGAAAAUGUGCUAAGGCACAAAGUAAAAUUUGGGAAAUACAGUUUUAUCAGCCGUGUCACAAGAAGGGAUCUCUUUCUUUACGAAGCAUGAAAAGAAGGAAAGGUGUUUUUUCGCCGAAGGCUCAAAAAUGGUAUGUGCGUAAAUUUCAUGCAUCGCAAAGAAAUAAACUGCAAUAAUUUACAUAUUCAAUUCAACAUUACAUACUUCAAAUAUUACAUAGUUUUGUUACAAUAGAAGCCUAAUCUUCCUUCAUUUGUUAUAUACAUCAAGCUUUUAAAAAUGAUUAUUACAAUAAAACUUAUUCCUCUUUAAGGACUUUCUCUGCAACUUCAUUCAGUAAUUUGUUGACGACCUCAUCGAUAAUGGAUUCAGCCAUGCUUAUGAUAUCCAAUGAUUCCUUCAUCUCUGGAUCAACUAGGGGAUUGUACGGCUCUGGAGGCGGGGAUAGUUCAGCUGAAGUAGGUAAACAAGAUUAGUUCGAAGCCAAAAAGCAAGUACCGAAGCUAAAUAAUCAAGAAAUAAUACCUAUACGCCUUUCGCAUUAUGUAGCUUCUUCAGCUCGCUUUGCGUCUGCUCGGGCAUCGUUGGUGUCUUUUUCACUCUUUUUUAUAAUCUCAUGGGCCAGCUCUCGGCCAUUGUUCACCCAGACAUCGUUAUAAAAUUUCCCGCCCAUUAAAGUUGCUUCGGUUGAAGGAUCCUUCGUAUCAUCUAUGGAGAAGGCAGCUUCGGCUUGGGCUAUGGCCUUAACGUGAUCACAUCCGGCCUUCUCCAGAAUAGCUGAGAUUCCCCACGCACCGGAAAACACACAAACAUCCCCGCGAUCACUCAAAAUUUCCUCGAAGGCUUCAGCUUCUCCACUUAUCCAUUCAACAACGCCUUCGGGGUCGCCUCGUACGAAGUUCUCUUCAGAAGAUUAGGCGCCCACUUUGGAGAAGCUAGUUUUUAUUUUCUUCACACAAUCCAAGGAUUUUUUGAAACACCUUUCCUUGGACUCGUGAAGCUCUUCAACAUUUUUCUCUAGCUUUUUUCUCCAGUAUUCACUGAUCUCUUGCUUAUGCUCUGCGAGAGCGCACUUCUCACUAGCUUCGGCCAGUUGUCUCCGAAGGUCUUCAACCUUAGCCUUUUGAGCUUCGGCUUGAGCGUUGUAUUUUGUCUCGUCUUCUUUUAUUUGUUCUACCAAUGAAAUCAAAAUCUUGUCUUUCUCUAGACCUUCAUUUCUUAGCUCAAUCACCUCGGUCCGAAGGUUGUUGAGUGCUAUGGUACAACUCUCGUCUUCAGUAUUCUUUUGUGCCCUAAGGCAUUACUAAGAAUCAAGCCCUGUAAAAAAGAAGAAAGAAUUGAGUAUUACAAUGAAAUACUUCGUUUCCAACUUCAAAGUUAACUUUUAUACCUUUAUACUGUUGUAUGCUAGGCUGUCAGCAAUAUCAUCCUUCGACAAAAUCGAAAGGCCAUCUUCCAGCUUGGGGAAUCCCAUACUCUUAGCUAUCUCCCGGCAAACGGAUAUUUCUUUGUUGUCCGGGAGACAAUAUAAGAAGUCGUCAUCGUUAGUGUCGUUAAACAUUAAAGCUCCCUUCGGAUAUUUCAAUUUUCGCGCAUAGUGUCUGGCUUCCAGAACUUCUUCGGACAACUUUUUCCCCGAAGCAUGACGAUAAAUAUAAUCAGCAUCCUCGACAGCGGCUUCGGGGGCAGGAGAUUUUGCCCUUUCUCCCGCGUCUGGUCCUUCUGCCAUGCCAACGUCUGAAGCCUAUGGAUCAGCUAUAUCUUCAAGCAUGACAGCCUUCGUCUCAAUAGGCGCUGAAGGCCCAACUUCGGCCACAUCUUGGACUUUGGUAGCUUCAGCAUCUUUUUUAGUAGCUCCAGGGCUCAAGGCCUUUGUAGUCUCCAAGACAGCGAACAACACAUUGGCCAUUCUCCUCCUCUUGGGAGUUGCGGCAGGAGCCUUUUGCACCUUCGGCAAACUUGCCUCAGCUGGUGGGCUCAGAAUUUCAGGCAUUUUCUCUAUUUUUUCCGCCUGUGGCUCUUCGGCCUUAACAGUCUUAGCUUCGGCUGCUCCGACUGUAGGUACCUUCAGCACUACAGUCGGCUCUUCAAUGCUCUGCAAAAUCUAAGUAGAUUGUCGAGCUUCGGCAGUUGAAGAGGCCCCCUCACCAAAUUCAGGCACUACGGCCGGUUCAAUGUAUCGUGGCCGGUGGGUCAGGACCUUCACCUUCUUGCCUUUCGACACAACAGUAAUGGCCGAAGCGAUAGUUUUUCUUUUCUUCCCUUGCCUUUGCGGCGGGUAGUGAUAAUCAGGGUAUACGAAGCCAAUGGCAUCAAAUACUUUGUUUAAUCUUUUCUUCCCUCGGCCCCUGAAGGUUGCGGCCAAGGCAUCAUCUUCAGCCCUGCUAUAUGCUCCAAGUAGUUCGCCGCUAAUAGCCUCAAUACUUUUUAGCCAAUCGUCAUUUGGCUCAUCAAACCGGUCUCUGAACCUGAAGGUGUAUUUCAAUCGAACCAACCCACCUUCAGUUGACUCGGCGGUAGUAUCCUUCGGCAUAUCCCAGUAUUCUACAAGUGGCCAUAUUUUGUACGCUAUGUGCUCUUGAACUAUAUCCCUUGUACCGAAGAAGGCGCAAACGUUGCUAAAAGCCUUCUGGCAUGCUUUGUCUUUCUGAUCAAUUAUCACCUUCGGCCUCUGAAGGCCGAAGCGAGACCAGAUAGGGAGUUGGAUGAUUUCCUUAAUGUCUUCUCUUUCAAUUAGAUCAUUCUUGACGUAAAACCAUUCUUCCAUCCAGGCCCUAGGCCAUCUCUUUCGGAAUGUGGGAACUGGAUAGCUUGCAUUGGAUCGAGCGAUGAAUCCGUAACAACCGAAGUUGUUGUGAUACUCCUCCUUCCCGGUGGCCUUCGUCUCGUACAGAAGUUCAUGCAUGCUACAAAAACACCUUGCGCUUGGUUCCAAUCCUUGACUUCUCAUAGCCCAAAUAAACAAACCCAUCCUGAUUAUAGCUUUAGGGGUAAGUUGAUGACGAAAGAUCUGAAACGUCUUCAGUACUUCGACCAAGAAUUUGCUCAACAGGAACCGAAGCCCUGCUUUCAAAAAGCUUCGAUAAAUAACCACCUCAUUUACUUCAGGAGUAGGAGCAGCGCUGUCUCCUCCAACCCUCAUAAUAGUCAUGUCCCGGAAGUACCUCCCUCUCAUAGCAUUAACAUGAUUUUCUUUAAUAGUCGACUUUCCGAAGAUGGCAUGGCUUGGUCACCACGGCCGAUCUUCAGAGUCCUCGUCUCCACUUUCUGCGUCAUAACUAUCACUGUCAUCAGUAUCUUCAGACAAACCCUCCAGUAUCUCUUUAGUAAUCUUCUCUGUGUUUGUUAUUGACAUAAACUCAAAAAAUCUGGCGAUAAAAGGAUCUGCAUCUUUCCUUUCUUCAAACAACUUCGUCUCCUCACUUAGCUCGUCUCCUCAGUCAUCUUUUCCUCAGACAUGGUGCAAACACGUCUUUAAACCAAAGCUCAGAAAAGCUUGAAAAUCAGGCGAGAGCUAGAGAGCAAGAGCUAAAAAGUUUGAGAAAAUAACGCAAUGGCAGAAAUGGCGUAUAAAAUGUUGCCGGUGUGGGUACAUAUUUAUACGCCCAGUGCGUUGCAAUUUGGACGACCCCAUUUGUCAUUGACUAUUGCUAUUCUAGCAAAGGGAAGGUGUUUUUUCAUACCUUCGACUUAAGGCCUUCGUUCACGUCGCAGUCUGGAUUCGAUAUUAUAACAAAUUAAUACUGCGAGGGGCUACUGUUGAGGGCCUUUGUCUUCCGAAGCUCCUCAAAAACAUGAUUAAUAAUGUUUCCCAAGUGUAAUGUUUGCCUCGUGUUGAGUUUGCUUACAACCGUUCACAACAUUCUACUACUAAAAAGAGCCCUUUUGAGAUUGUUUAUGGAUUUGUACCUCGUGCCCCUAUUGAUUUGCUGCCUCUACCAACUUCUGAGAGAUUGAAUUUUGAUGCUAAACAAUGUGCUGAGUUGACGUUGAAAAUGCAUGAGACCAUAAAGGAGAACAUAGAAACCAUGAAUGCUAAAUAUAAACUUGCUGGUAGUAGAGGAAAGAAGCAUGUCACUUUUGAACCAGGUGAUUUGGUUUGGCUGCACUUGAGAAAGGAUCGAUUUCCUGAUUUGAGGAAGUUAAAGUUGCUUCCGAGAGCCGAUGGCCCUUUUAAAGUUGUAGCUAAGAUCAAUGAUAAUGCAUACAAACUUGAGUUGCCUGCAGAUUUUGGGGUUAGCCCCACAUUUAACAUUGCAGAUUUGAAACCAUAUUUGGGCGAGGAAGAUGAACUUGAGUCGAGGACGACUCAAAUGCAAGGAGAGGAUGAUGAGGACAUCCCUCCCAAUGAUACACCCAUACCUAAUACGCAGCAAGGACCAAUGACAAGAGCUCGUGCACGAGAGCUAAAUUAUCAGGUAAACUCGUUCCUCGCUGUCCAUAAACCAUCAUCCAUGAAUGGGGUACUACUAAAUUCUUGUGAUGCUUUUCUUAUUCAUAGGAACUUCGGACAUGAACCAGAUUGGAGGAAGAGCAAUCACGACAAGAAAGCAAGUGUGGAUGAUCUGAUCGGACCAUACCAGUUCGGACCUACAGGAGGGAGCAACUUCGGAAGGCCAUAACUCUUAGCUCCGAAUAUUGUUUUAAGCCCAUGAGUACUUAUUGGAAAGCUCCUGAACUCCACUUUCAGAUGGAUUCAACCUCAAGACGAAAUUUCAAAGGAGUUAAGCAGAAUUGCCAAAAUGACGUUCACUCUUCCACUCUUGGGCUGAGACCCAGUCUUGGGAUGAGGCCUUUGUAUCUAGUUUAGACCACUAGGGGCCCAUUCUAAGUUAGGGUUUACACCCCUCCAUGCCUCUUGGCUGCUCCCCCACCUAUAUAAACCACCAGCAGCCACCAUUUGAGACUUGGGUUUUGUUUGGUUGUAAGUUUAGCUGCUGCUACU
rnacentral:lncRNA from 1 species